rnacentral:rRNA from 1 species
CCAAUAGCGUAUAUUAAAGUUGUUGCAGUUAAAAAGCUCGUAGUUGAAUUUCGGGAUCGAUACGUCGGUCGUGCCUUCGGUACGUACUGCCGUCAUUGGUUUCUCCCUUCUGACGAACCAUGAUGUCAUUAAUUUGGUGUUAUGGGGAGUUAGGACUGUUACUUUGAAAAAAUAAGAGUGUUUAAAGCAGGCAUUAGCUUGAAUACAUUAGCAUGGAAUAAUGAAAUAGGACGUUCGAUCCUAUUUUGUUGGUUUCUGGGAUCAACGUAAUGAUUAAUAUGGAUAGUUGGGGGCAUUAGUAUUCAAUUGUCAGAGGUGAAAUUCUUGGAUUUAUUGAAGACUAACUACUGCGAAAGCAUUUGCCAAGGAUGUUUUCAUUAAUCAAGAACGAAAGUUAGGGGAUCGAAGACGAUCAGAUACCGUCGUAGUCUUAACCAUAAACUAUGCCGACUAGGGAUCGGAUGAUGUUAAUUUCUUAAUGACUCAUUCGGCGCCUUACG